rnacentral:rRNA from 1 species
ACACGACUACAUUAGAUACCCGGGUAGUCCUAGCCGUAAACGAUACUCGCUAGGUGUCGGCCACGGUGCGACCGUUGUCGGUGCCGUAGGGAAGCCGUGAAACGUGCCGCCUGGGAAGUACGGUCGCAAGGCUGAAACUUAAGGAAUUGGCGGGGGAGCACCACAACGGGUGGAGCCUGCGGUUUAAUUGGACUCAACGCCGGGAAGCGUCACCGGGUAAGACAGCGGAAUGAUUGCCGGGCUGAAGACCCUGCAUGACCAGCUG